rfam:Harpegnathos saltator strain R22 G/1 HarSal_1.0_2.contig3962, whole genome shotgun sequence.
CGUCAGAUAGCUCAGUGGUCUAGAGCAGUCGCCCGGCAAGCGAAAAAGACCCCGGUUCGAUUCCCGGUCUAGCGA